rnacentral:rRNA from 1 species
UACGUAGGGGGCAAGCGUUGUCCGGAAUCAUUGGGCGUAAAGAGCGUGUAGGCGGCCCGAUAAGUCCGCCGUGAAAGUCCAGGGCUCAACCCUGGAAUGCCGGUGGAAACUGUCGGGCUGGAGUCCGGAAGAGGCGAGUGGAAUUCCUGGUGUAGCGGUGAAAUGCGCAGAUAUCAGGAGGAACACCGGUGGUGAAGGCGGCAUCCUGGACCGGUAUUGACGCUGAGGCGCGAAAGCCAGGGGAGCAAACGGG